AAGUCAAAUAUUGGAGUUAUGGUGGUGUCCCCUCUUUGCCGUCCACUUGUUCUUAUUUUUCUAAGCUUAGGCCAAGUUGAUUGGUUUUAGGAGCUGUCUGUGUCUAAAUGCAUUUUUAUCUCCAUCAAGGAUCAUGAUUUUGGUUUACUUCUAUAAUAUCUAUCCACUAUCCGGUAUGUUCUAGUUGCCAAUAAUUACUCUGAUUCAUUGUUCCUUACCGUUUAUUUCACCUAGCCACCAUCCUCUGCUUACCUUCCAUGCCUUUGUCAUGUAAAGGAGGAUAAAGAAUAAAAAGAAAUAAGUGAAGAAUCAUGUAUAUGGGAAGAGGAGUGGCCCAAACGAGUUGUGGAUUAGCAUUUAGCGAUUGGCAGAAUCUUAGUAGACAACAUUAUUUACAGCCCGACCGAAAAAAGAAGACAAGCAGAAUCAAAACAAAAGAGGGGACAAUGGCCAUUGGCCAACAUGUAUCUGAUAUUUACCACCAUACUGCAAUGUUCUAAACACGAAUCAUCAUACAUUGUGAACAUCCUCAUAAUUAUCUUUUCUUCUCUUUGAUGUGUUAUGUUGAAAAUUCCUUUUCUAUUUGAUUUCUAAUUCCAAAUAAGCCUGUCUUUUUAUUUUCUCUUUUCCCUUAGGUUGAUUAGACAAUCAUUAGUUCAUUAAAGAAGUGCUCGAAUCACACCUUGUACAUGCAGGCCAAUGAUAAACUCUUAGAUGGAAUUUCGAUCUGCGAAAAAUUAGUCUUUAACCUGUCUAACUGGAGAUACAGAGGCGACCAAAGGAAAAAGAAAAAGAAAUUGAAAGUUCUAGAAUAUUCUACUAGAAAAAGAAGAAAGAGAUUGGGGUGCUGUAAAAGAGGUGCCAGCAGGAAGCAGUUGGCAACACAUUUGGCUAAUUUGGGCCCUGGGCCCGGGGGGCAUGGCAUGGAUGAAUCUUUUUGGAUAUUAAAAAAAAAAAAAAGAGAGAGAGAAAGGAAACCAAGACAGCCUGAAAAACUUGAUGGCGGCCACACUCCGUUGUUGACACCAUUGCACGCUUUUCUAUGUUCCCAUUCCUAGUACCAAAAUGGCAAAAUUAAUCGCUCCCAUGUACGGUAGUUAUCAUAACGAACAGCAAUUGAUUCGGUCAAAAGUAUUGUGUUAACUUGUUAGUAUAGUAGAUCAGUGAUUCAACAAGGUUAUUAGUUGAACCGUUUAUAAUAA